UUUAACUGCGGUGGUGGUAUG
rnacentral:siRNA from 1 species